AUGUCGCGGCGGCGGUAGCAACUCCAGGCUGGCACAGUGACGGCAGUGCCAGGCGGCCGGACCUCCGCGCGGGGGCAGGUAGUCCCAGCUGCCGGCGCGCCAGCCCCCGAGCUUGUCGACCGACCAGUAGCGGCCGGGCGGAGGCCCGAGGCGCUCGGCAUACGGGUAGGGGAAAUCGGCGAACCACCAGGAUUCCAGACCGCCCAGCGAAGCGCCACCCAGGCUCUCCGAGUCCUCCGAGUCCGACGGCGACGGCUCCAGGUCCAGAUCCCCGAGAGCCACAGCCGCUCCAGCAUCUCGAUCUCAUCUGGGGACAGGGUCAGAGGUCACCUGCUAUGAGCACUCUCCCCUCGGAUAUGGAUUCCAGGCCAGCCCCCUUCCUCUCUCAAAGUGGACCCUGCUGUUAAGGCCUUCACCCCCUCCUCCCCAGGACCCAGGGGUUCUGCCCUCCCCUCUCCAGGGUAAGGUUUCCUGCCCAGCGCGGCCGCACCAUCCCCCAGGAACUGCAGCAGCGCCAGGUCGAUGGGCCGCUUCCAGCGGGAGCCCUUGUGCAGGGCGAUGCCAUAGCCUGUGGUGGCGAAGACCUUGCCCGAGCCAAUGGUGACCAGCUUGCAGCCCUCAUCCUUGCGCGCCAUGUAGUUGAGCACUGCAGCAUCAUAGAUGAAGGCAUCCAGUUUCCUGAGGACAGGGAUGGAGAAACAGGCCCAGAACCACACCAUGUCUUGCUUGUGUCGCCCCUCCGGGCCUAACUGCUAAGACUUGGUGGGAAGAGUAAGAUGGAUGUAGUCAUUCCCAUGGACUGGGAGCAUCACUGUCCUUCACAAUUCCCAGUGACGGACCGUUCGGCUAAUCUCCACCUCUCCAAGUCCCCUAGCCCAGGGAGCAGAAACCCAGCUGUUCUCAUUCCCAGCUGGCUCAUUCUGUGGGGGUUCGAGAGCUUUUUGGUCAUCUUUUGGCAGAUAUCAGUCUGAUAGAGAUGAAGAGCACAGCCUUCUUAUGUAAAUAGACAGGGACACAGGCUCCAAGUGAUAGAAAUGAGGAAUUAAUCCCCGUUUUGUAGGCGGGUAGUCAGAGUUACAGGCCAAAAAAGAAUAUUACCGAUUACAAGUCCAGAAGCUGAAUUCCAAAAAGCCCUGACUUACCAAGAUGUUGGCUGACCACCAGAACCUUGUGCCUUUGUUUUCUUUUUUAUCAAGAGCCUCCAUAUACAUUCAAAAUAGCUAAUCAUUACCAUGGGAUAUAUUUUA